GACAGAGGGUGCAAACGUUGUUCGGAAUUACUGGGCGUAAAGCGAGUGUAGGCGGUUUGGAAAGUCGGAUGUGAAAGCCCCGGGCUCAACCCGGGAAGUGCACUCGAUACUCCCAAGCUAGAGUAUCGGAGAGGUUGGCGGAAUUCUCGGUGUAGAGGUGAAAUUCGUAGAUAUCGAGAGGAACACCGGCGGCGAAGGCGGCCAACUGGACGAAUACUGACGCUGAGACUCGAAAGCGUGGGGAGCAAACAGG
rnacentral:rRNA from 1 species